UACGUAGGUGGCAAGCGUUGUCCGGAUUUACUGGGUGUAAAGGGCGUGUAGCCGGGCCGGCAAGUCAGAUGUGAAAUCCCAAGGCUCAACCUUGGAACUGCAUUUGAAACUGUUGGUCUUGAGUAUCGGAGAGGCAGGCGGAAUUCCUAGUGUAGCGGUGAAAUGCGUAGAUAUCAGGAGGAACACCGGCGGCGAAGGCGGCUUACUGGACUGUAACUGACGUUGAGGCUCGAAGGCGUGGGGAGCAAACAGG
rnacentral:rRNA from 1 species